rnacentral:rRNA from 1 species
AACGAACGCUGGCGGCAUGCCUAACACAUGCAAGUCGAACGAUACCGUCGGGUCUAUUUGCGCACGUGUACUUAACACGUGGUAACCUACCCUUAGGUACCGUAUCACUCCCCGAAGGAUGUCCUAAUAAAACAUAAGCUCAUCUGGCCAAAGAUUUAUCGCCUUUGGAUGGGCGCGAGUUAGUUUAGCUAGUUGGUAGUGUAAAAGCCUACCAAGGCGACGAUGCAUAGCUGGUGUGAGAGGAUGACCAGCCACACUGGGACUGAGACACGGACCAGACUCCGACGGGAGGCAGCAGUGGGGAAUAUUGGACAAUGGGCGAAAGACUGAUAAAGCCAUGCCGCGUGAGUGAUGAAUGAGUUAGGGUUGUAAAGCUCUUUUAAACGGGAUGAUAAUGACAGUACCGGGAGAAUAAGCGCCGGCUAACUACGUG